AGUGACGAUAGCCUAGGAGAUACACCUGUACCAAUGCCGAACACAGAAGUUAAGCCCUAGAACGCCGGAAGUAGUUGGGGGUUGCCCCCUGUGAGAUAGGGAAGUCGCUUAGCU
rnacentral:rRNA from 1 species